UCAAGAGAGCGUGAAACCGUUGGUAGGGAAGCUCUGGGCGCCGAGGCGGUCCGGCUCUUCGGAGUUCAGUCGGCGCGGUCGUCGUCGCUCCUGUGGGCGUCGUCGUGCCGGUGCAUUUUCCGUGGAGUCUCGGUGACCGUCAGCGAGGGGAGAGCCCGGUCGUGUUGGUCGCUGGUGGAGGAGGKGCCGUAGUCCGUCGUUCGSGAGGGUCUGCGGUCGUAAGCUCUUCGAGUGUCCGGUCGUGGSGUCGUYUCCCCGGGUGAGUCUCGGACGACUCSGUCGUCCACGGKGGUUGCAGGUGCGGGUCGCUKUCUCAGUGACGCGGGUCCUUCGUCGUCGAGUCGUUGGGGUGUGGGAAGGUGUCUCCAGGACCGGCUCCUCGCGGUGUCCCGUCUUGGGUGGGCCUCUCCGCCCGUUUCGUCCGGGCGUCGUCGGUUUCGUCUGCCGCGCCCAGGUCGCUGACGUUGAUUCGGUCCCCCGUGC
rnacentral:sRNA from 1 species